rnacentral:tRNA from 1 species
GGUUAUUUAGUUUAUAUAAAACAAAUGUUUUGAAAACAUUAAAAAAGUAAAGAUACUUAUUAAUCG